UGCCAGACUCCUACGGGAGGCAGCAGUGGGGGAUAUUGCACAAUGGGGGAAACCCUGAUGCAGCGACGCCGCGUGGGUGAAGAAGCGCCUCGGCGCGUAAAGCCCUGUCAGCAGGGAAGAAAAUGACGGUACCUGAGUAAGAAGCCCCGGCUAACUACGUGCCAGCAGCCGCGGUAAUACGUAGGGGGCAAGCGUUAUCCGGAUUUACUGGGUGUAAAGGGAGCGUAGACGGCCAGGCAAGUCUGGAGUGAAAGCCCGGGGCUCAACCCCGGGACUGCUUUGGAAACUGCCAGGCUGGAGUGCUGGAGAGGCAAGCGGAAUUCCUAGUGUAGCGGUGAAAUGCGUAGAUAUUAGGAAGAACACCAGUGGCGAAGGCGGCUUGCUGGACAGUAACUGACGUUGAGGCUCGAAAGCGUGGGGAGCAAACAGGAUUAGAUACCCUGGUAU
rnacentral:rRNA from 1 species